rnacentral:rRNA from 1 species
CGUUAGCGGCGGACGGGUGAGUAACACGUGGGUAACCUACCUAUAAGACUGGGAUAACUUCGGGAAACCGGAGCUAAUACCGGAUAAUAUUUCGAACCGCAUGGUUCGAUAGUGAAAGAUGGUUUUGCUAUCACUUAUAGAUGGACCCGCGCCGUAUUAGCUAGUUGGUAAGGUAACGGCUUACCAAGGCGACGAUACGUAGCCGACCUGAGAGGGUGAUCGGCCACACUGGAACUGAGACACGGUCCAGACUCCUACGGGAGGCAGCAGAG